rnacentral:lncRNA from 1 species
GUGGCUGGAAUUGAUCAUUGGACGGUGCUAGGACCUCUCAACACUCUUAAGCAAGGAUUAAACACUUCAUAUCACAACUUGGAGGUGAUUAAUCGUGGUUGUCCAGAGGAUUAUACAAGCAGUCAUUUCUUCAAACAACAACAAUGCUAUUGGAGGUCUUCAACAAGUAGGUGUCCUUAUUCCAUUUUGUUUGUUGUUCCAGCUUUAUUUCCUUGUCUUAGCUGGAUUAUAUAUGUCUUUUCUUGCUUGUCAGCUUUGAAUUGAGUCUUAUGUUUGUUCCUCUUUAGGAGUUUCCUAGAGUAAUUUCUGAAAUUGCAUAGCUAAGCGUAAUUUUUACAUCUCCAUGUUUGUAUGCUAAAUUGAGUUUGAUCAUCAUUGGAUUUAAGUGUGUGAAUAUUGCUUAUAUGUUUUUGUACCAAUAGAGGCAGUCAAUUAGUUCAUUGUGCUUUAAUCAAACACACUUUCUUCCAUAAAUAUAGCCUUGGUCGAGACAUAUUUUGCAACACUGCCUGUUGUAAAAAAAUCACAAAAUUUUUCUAUGGUUGUUGUUGUUUGGCCGAGAGUUUUUGGUGUGGUGUGUUUGAUAACCUCUUCUAAAGCCUCUUUUCAUCUCAAAAUAUACAAAAGCUAUAGGUUUGAGGUUUGCCAAAAUUAUUUCCAACAUUAAUUUGGUCUUGCUCUUCAUUUUUUGGCCUCUACCAUGUGUUGUCUUGAUUUGGCUCCUUUGCAUUGAGGGUGGAUUGUACAUCUUUCCAUUUGCUUUAGACUUGAGUUGGUGCUCUCAAAGUGGACUUGUGAGACAUUGUACUAUUUUUGAAAGAAGGGUGUUGCCCUUACCUUGUUUUUGAACCACUUUAUCGAAUGUUUUGAGCUUUCUUUUUGUUGUAUUGAGUGUAACCAUGGG